UACGGAGGGCGCGAGCGUUACCCGGAUUUACUGGGCGUAAAGGGCGUGUAGGCGGUCUGGGGCGUCCCAUGUGAAAGGCCACGGCUCAACCGUGGAGGAGCGUGGGAUACGCUCAGGCUAGACGGUGGGAGAGGGUGGUGGAAAUCCCGGAGUAGCGGUGAAAUGCGCAGAUACCGGGAGGAACGCCGAUGGCGAGGGCAGCCACCUGGUUCACUGGUGACGCUGAGGCGCGAAAGCGUGGGGAGCAAACCGG
rnacentral:rRNA from 1 species